AUUGAACGCUGGCGGCAGGCUUAACACAUGCAAGUAGAGCGAGCGGCGGACGGGUGAGUAAUGUCUGGGAAACUGCCUGAGGGAGGGGGAUAACUACUGGAAACGGUAGCUAAUACCGCAAACCAUCAGAUGUGCCCAGAUGGGAUUAGCUAGUAGGUGGGGUAAUGGCUCACCUAGGCGACGAUCCCUCGCUGGUCUGAGAGGAUGACCCGCCACACUGGACCUGAGACACGGUCCAGCCUCCUACGGUAGUCGCAAGUGGGGAAUAUUGCACAAUGGGCGCCAGCCUGAUGCAGCCAUCCCGCUCGUGUGCUGAAGGCCUUCGGGUUGUAAAGCACUUUCAGCGAGGAGGCGUUACUCGCAGCAGAAGCACCGGCUAACUCCGUGCCAGCAGCCGCGGUAAUAC
rnacentral:rRNA from 1 species